ACUCCUACGGGAGGCAGCAGUGGGGAAGUCUUAGACAAUGGGCGCAAGCCUGAUCUAGCCAUGCCGCGUGAGUGAUGAAGGCCUUAGGGUCGUAAAGCUCUUUCGCCAGGGAUGAUAAUGACAGUACCUGGUAAAGAAACCCCGGCUAACUCCGUGCCAGCAGCCGCGGUAAUACGGAGGGGGUUAGGCGUUGUUCGGAAUUACUGGGGCGUAAAGCGUACGUAGGCGGAUCAGAAAGUUGGGGGUGAAAUCCCGGGGGCUCAACCCCGGAACUGCCUCCAAAACUCCUGGUCUUGAGUUCGAGAGAGGUGAGUGGAAUUCCAAGUGUAGAGGUGAAAUUCGUAGAUAUUUGGAGGAACACCAGUGGCGAAGGCGGCUCACUGGCUCGAUACUGACGCUGAGGUACGAAAGUGUGGGGAGCAAACAGGAUUAGAUACCCUGGUAGACUGUCA
rnacentral:rRNA from 1 species